CCACCUCUGUCCAUAUCAGGAACUGUUUUGCUAUGGGGAUUUUCUCCUGCUUUGAACAUUUCCUGACAUGGCCAGAGGUGGCAGAAGAGAGUACUGUGUCUCACUGGAAUGACUACAUGACUUCCUCCAGGGCAUACAGCAGCUGAUAAG